rnacentral:rRNA from 1 species
GAGUUUGAUCUUGGCUCAGAAUCAACGCUGGCGGCGUGCCUAACACAUGCAAGUCGCACGAGAAAGUGGAGCAAUCCAUGAGUAAAGUGGCGCACGGGUGAGUAACACGUGAAUGAUCUACCUCCGAGUGGGGAAUAACUGAGAGAAAUCUUAGCUAAUACCGCAUAAUACCCACGGGUCAAAGCAGCAAUGCGCUUGGAGAGGAGUUCGCGGCCGAUUAGUUAGUUGGCGGGGUAAUGGCCCACCAAGACGAUGAUCGGUAUCCGGCCUGAGAGGGCGCACGGACACACUGGAACUGAAACACGGUCCAGACUCCUACGGGAGGCAGCAGUGGGGAAUUUUGCGCAAUGGGGGAAACCCUGACGCAGCAACGCCGCGUGGAGGAUGAAGCCCCCUUGGGGUGUAAACUCCUUUCGAUCGGGAAGAUAAUGACGGUACCGAUAUAAGAAGCCCCGGCUAACUUCGUGCCAGCCGCCGCAGUAAC